rnacentral:miRNA from 1 species
UAAAGCUCGGCUAGCAGGAUC